UAGGGAAUAUUGGACAAUGGGUGAGAGCCUGAUCCAGCCAUGCCGCGUGCAGGAAGAAGGCGUUAUGCGUUGUAAACUGCUUUUGCCAGGGGAUAAAAGGACCGUGCGCGGUUAAUUGAAGGUACCUGGUGAAUAAGCCACGGCUAACUACGUGCCAGCAGCCGCGGUAAUACGUAGGUGGCAAGCGUUGUCCGGAUUUAUUGGGUUUAAAGGGUGCGUAGGUGGCCCUGUAAGUCAGUGGUGAAAUAUCUCAGCUUAACUGAGAGGGUGCCAUUGAUACUGCAGGGCUUGAGUACAGAUGAGGUAGGCGGAAUUGACGGUGUAGCGGUGAAAUGCAUAGAUAUCGUCAAGAACACCGAUAGCGAAGGCAGCUUACCAAGCUGUAACUGACACUGAGGCACGAAAGUGUGGGGAUCAAACAGGAUUAGAUACCCUUGUAGUCCCUGAGCGGGCUGGCAAGGCGCAU
rnacentral:rRNA from 1 species